UCCCCAAAGGCUCAGUGGUAAAAGAAUCUGCCUGCAAUGCAGAAAAAUUCAGGUUGAUCCCUGGGUGGGGAA
rnacentral:tRNA from 1 species